AACGAACGCUGGCGGCAGGCCUCAAAACAUGCAAGUCUAGGGGGUGCAGCAAUGCAUCACCGGCGGACGGGUGCGUAACGCGUGGGAAUAUACCUUUUGGUUCGGAACAACUGCGGGAAACUGCAGCUAAUACCGAAUGUGCCCUAACGGGGAAAGAUUUAUCGCCAAAGGAUUAGCCCGCGUAGGAUUAGCUAGUUGGUGAGGUAAUGGCUCACCAAGGCUCCGAUCCUUAGCUGCUGAGAGGAAGAUCAGCCACACUGGGACUGAGACACGGCCCAGACUCCUACGGGAGGCAGCAGUUGGGAAUCGUUGGACAAUGGGGGAAACCCUGGAUCCAGCCAUGCCGCGUGAGUGAUGAAGGCCUUCGGGUU
rnacentral:rRNA from 1 species